rnacentral:rRNA from 1 species
CAGUUCGGAUUGUAGUCUGCAACCCGACUACAUGAAGCUGGAAUCGCUAGUAAUCGCGGAUCAGAAUGCCGCGGUGAAUACGUUCCCGGGUCUUGUACACACCGCCCGUCACACCAUGGGAGUCGGAAAUGCCCGAAGUCGGUGACCGAACCGAAAGGAAGGAGCCGCCGAAGGCAGGUCUGGUGACUGGGGUGAAGUCGUAACAAGGUAUC